GAUCAAGGAAGUUGUCUCCAGCUUCAAGAUCAACCAGGAGAACUGGCUUGAUGUACUCAAGGGGGUCAAGAAAUAGGAGGAUACUUACCUGUUCGAAGAUCUCUGUAACAUACUUCAGGAUAAAAUUCAAGACUACCUGAAGGGUGUGACCUCAUCUAAUCAAUAUCUGGAGAGUCUUCAAGAAUCUGAGGACGAAGAUUUCUUUUCCUGGGUUAAAAAUAGGGUUCAGAAAUGGAACAGAUCAGACACAGGGUUUCAACAAGAAGAGAUGAAGAAUUCCAAAAAAAUCAAAAUCAUCGAUUUACAGACUCAAACUCAGAAUUUGGAAUCACAGCUAAAAAGCAUAUCAAAUAGAAAAAAAAUAUUAAAAAAUAUACACGAGAAAAUAAGGAAAAGGCAAGAAAGAUCUAGAUUUUAAAGUUCAAAGCCCUGUUUAAUUGCCCUUGUCAUGAUAUGGAGGGAGUAAUGUUUCCUUGAAGGACAUAGUUAAGCAUAUCAAACAUUGUGAUUAUAUUGAGUUUAGAAAUUGUUAUCUGGAGCUGAAUACAGAAAUGAACAUAUAAGACUUGAUAUAGGAGCUGUUGUUUACAAACUGGAAGAAUAUGACAUCUGGUUUGUGAUUGUUAGAACUUGGAUUAGUGGAUCAGUGUGUUGCUCUACAUCAUGUAUUACAAUAAAGAAAAAAACAAUUUAGAUAUUUUCAUAAUAGAGUUAUGAAAUAUUAAACGGUCAAAUGUGCUCCUAUGGGGAUAUCAGUUAAAGAUGCUUUCAACAAUAACUUCACAACGACAAUGAAUAAUGAACGUGCUCUUGUGUUGACAUUAAAAUAUAAAAAGCAUAACCA